AGUGAAUAUUAGGACAUCGCUUCGGCGAGUUCGACCCUCCACUUUUCAACUCUGUGCAUUUAUUGGCGGAAUCGAGCGAGCAAUCGUGAAGUUCUGCGUCUCAUUUUUAAACACUAGUCAAAGUAUGUAACGAAAUAUCGAAAUAAAAAAAAACUUUCAACAACGGAUCUCUUGGCUCUCGCAUCGAUGAAGAACGCAGCGAAAUGUGAUAAGUAAUGUGAAUUGCAGAGUUCAGUGAAUCAUCGAAUCUUUGAACGCACCUUGCGCUCCCUGGUAUUCCGGGGAGCAUGUCUGUUUGAGUGUCAUGAACUCUUCAACCCACCAGUUUCUUGUAGACUGAUUGGUGUUUGGAUUUUGAGCGCUGCUGGUCUUCGGAUCUAGCUCGUUCGUAAUAUAUUAGCAUCUCUAAUUCGACUUCGGAUUGACUCAGUGUAAUAGACUAUUCGCUGAGGACACACCUAGUGUGGCCGAACGUUGAUCUCAGUAGAAGCUUCCAACUAUUGUAGUCAAUUUUAGAUUAGACCUCAGAUCAGGCAGGAUUACCCGCUGAACUUAA
rnacentral:rRNA from 1 species